rnacentral:sRNA from 1 species
AGAGUGGUGAUCGAGUGGUUCUGAUUGGGUGAUUCCUCUGGCUUCACGAUUUAGUAAAACUAAGCUGCUAGGUUCUCCGGGGUUGCGAUAGAGUGAUUUGCCCUAGCAGGGCUUCGAGGCUUCGAUAGAGUACUUUGGCCGAAGGCGUCAUUGGGCAUUCUGACUUUGUGCUCUGUUUCUCCUUUGUUUGAACUGCAAAAGCAUCCAAAGUACCUGAAAACAACCAAAUAUGCAAUGCACAUGCAAUCCUAAUGCAAAACCGUCCUAAGUAUGCAAAACACACUAAAACGACUCCUAAUGAGAUGAAAUGUGGAUGAAAUAAUGACAAAGAGGUGAAGAAUGAAUGUCUAAAUCAUGAAAAUUAUAGACAUAUCAACUCCCCCAAACUUUGUCUUUGCUUGCCCUUAAACAAACAAGAAGACAUAAGCGGAAGGAGAGGUUUGAAGUUGGGGACUGAUAACACGGCUUUUUAGCCCAUUU